UGGGUUAGAUCCGAAAAAGUUUCUAAGGGUAAAGAAACUCAAGAGGAUACCACCCAGAAGCGUGAGACAGUGUGUUACAGAUGUGGCUGUAAAGGACAUUGGUCUCGUACCUGUCGUACUCCUUCACAUCUUUGUAAGUUAUAUCAAGAGUCCACGAAAGGCAAAGCUAAAGAAGUGAAUCUCACUGAAAACUUUGAAGGGACAUCGUACCUCGAUGCCUCUGACUUCGCAAAUGAGCUGGACUAGAUUACUCCUGAAGAGAACCGAAAUGCUUAUAAUAAGACUAUUGAAUGGUUUUCAGUAUUAUCAUGUAUAGAGAUGACAGUUCAAGGGCUUGCCCGCGGGCCUGACCUGAAAAGGCCCAUUGCGGGGCGGGAUUGGGCAAAGAUCUUGUGGCCCGUUUAUUUGCGGGUCUCGCGGGACAGGACCGCGAUGGUAUUGGGCCGGAGCGGGAUGCAGGCAAACAUUAAGGCCCGCUACACUUUUCUCACCGAGAACAGAGAUAAACAGUGAUCGGGUGAUGACUAUGGCCAUUCUUGCUCUCUGUGUUUCUUCCCUUUCGAUCGACAAUCACAAGCUCUUGUACACAAUUCAUCUUUUUUGCAUGCGAUCAAACGCCUUCUUCUUCUCUUCUCUUUUCUUUUCUUUUCUUCAUCUCUUUCCGUCUCUUCACUUCUUCUUCUUCGAUCAACGACCACAGAGCAUCGUCUUCUUCUCCUCUACACAGUAUAGCGUCGACGACCAUGUGCAGAGAGCAAAUCAGGAGGGAUGAUCUGGAGUCUCUUGGCUAUAUGAUUAUGUAUUUUCUUCAAGGAAGCUCCAUCAGGUUGUGGGCUCUAAGUGGCGAAGUUCUAAGUCACGACUCUUCACCAAGGUGGUUUGUUUGGUACAGUGGAGUACCAGCUUCACAGCAGAACCUUGAAGACACUGAUGAAACUUGUGCAGAUUCAAGAUAUCAUUUUGAUCAUGGAAGUGGUUCUCAGGUACCAAUGAUAACUAACUUAUGAUAUGCAUGAUCGUCCAGUAGCACUUGAACUGUUAUUGCUUAGUUUGAUAAGUAGUGAACAUGUAUUAUUUAGUCUGAUAGAACUUGAACUUGUGAUAUGCAUGAUCUAAUCGUUAGUCUGUUAGAACUUGAACUUGUUGGUAUCAAGAGUCUGACUUAUGUUAUAGUCUAAUCUAUCUUGGUCUCUUCUUGUUGCAGGUGACAUGUGAUUCACGAAACCAUUCGAGGUCCUUUGUAGUCAUAAGCUAUAGUUAAGAGUUCCUUUGUAAGUUUGCACGAAACCAUUU